UCUGAUUCAGACAAAGACACACAGUUUGUGUUUGGGACAAUGGGUAGGGACGGGAACAGACUGCCCCCAGCGCGCCAGGCUGGAGGUCCCUUGUCACCAGUGGGUCAAUGGCCGGAAGCCCAGCUCCAGCCCUACAAUGCUAUAACAGGUCACCCCACCCUUACCAGUACCCUCACCCACACCCCACCCCCACUUCCGUCCUCUGUUUCUUCCUCACCUUCAGAGAAAGCUGCAGGGCUCCCUGGGGAACUUCCCAUACCUACUUCAUUGGCUCCCUGCCAGGUGCUCAACCCUCCCUCCCCCUCUGCCCACUUGACCGGGUCAGUCUCCCAGUUAACUUUCUGUCCAGAGAUCCCAGCUGGGGCAGGCCAGGGAGGAAAGGAAGCUGGGUGGAGGGGCUGCAAAAGAGCCUGCUUUUCCUGCUCCCCUCAGUUACUAGAAGCCCAAAUGAGGGACUUGGGAAGAGAGAGGUGGAUUGAGGGUUGGGGCCUCGGACUGGGCUGCCCUGGGCAUAUUUCACCCCCCUAGGACCCCAGGGGAAGUGGGAAUGCUAUCUUUUACCUACCCAACAAUCCUCUUCCUCUGCUUUCAGCAAAUUCAGGGAAGAGAGUCCAGAUCUGAGACUUGUAUCCUCCGGAAAAUAAACACAAAAACCCAGGACAAGUGAGUCCUGGUUAAUGUUACUAUGUCAAUGACAAAUUCAUGAAAACACAAAAACCAUAAAAUUCUAAAUGCAUAGAAUCCAUAGUCAUGGAAUCUUAGCAUCUCAGAAUUCUAGCAUGGUGAAAUCUGAGUUACUAAAUCAGAAAUAUAGAAUUCUGGUAUCACCUAUGUCCAGAUCACAAGGUUAAGUAUCCUUGAAGAGAGAAGUCUUGAGAAGUCAGUUAGUGAAGUCUUUACCUUCAGGUGGAUGUCUACACUAGAGGAUCCCCUACUGGGGAUGGGCAAAAGAGUUCACAUAUGAACUCUAAGCAGGAGGCAGAGAGCUCAGGACACACGAGUUUAGGAUAGGUUAAGAAUCCUGCAAUAACUCAGGCAGAAGACAGACAUCUUCCAUGAGGACACAUUCUUCUUUCCUGAGGAUGAGGGGAGUGGGGUGGGAGGAGGGGGAUACAGAGAGGGGAACUCUAGAAACAAAACAUAGCCCGCAGAAAAAACGAUCAAGUAGCAUAACACACAGCCACAAUGCCUCCAAUUUCUCCACGUUCGGGGUUAACACCAGCCCAGGACAUUGUCAAAGGGAAACCAAGCUGUCGUUCCACCUCGGAGGCCUGGGAGCCUGACACUACUGGGGACUGGAUGGAUGCGGGAGUGGGGUGCUCGGUGCAACUCCCAAGAGCUCCAGAUUCGAGAGACUGCAGGAAUGGUGUGAGCACUUGAUAUAAAAUGCUCUCCAAAUCAGCCUGUAUUCAUAGACAUAGAGAAAUGGCACCUACUGAGUGCCUACUGCAUACCAGACUAAGGGUAUUCACCAAAUUGACAAAAAGAAGAGCCAGCAAUCAUUGGCAAUCAGCCAUUGCCUGCAGUGAGGGAGACCUUGUCUUCUGAGAGGCCUCUAGGCACAAUGUGUCCACAGAACCCAAAAAGUUGCAGGCUGGAAUUCUUGCAGGCAUUUCAGGCCUGAAAUGGGGGCACUUUUACCUGCCUCUGGCAUCCAUCAGCCCGGGCAUCCCUUCUGUACUGGCACUCCAAUGGCAGCUGGAAGCCCAGUGCCUACUCAUUUUCAUAUCAGAGUUCAGCACAAGUUUAUGUUCCGUUCCCAGGUUUUGUUUUACUUAAAAAAAAAAAAAAAAAAAGAGGCAUCAUGUGAUGAAGUGAUGGAUUCUUUCUACGGGA